rnacentral:rRNA from 1 species
UACGUAGGGGGCUAGCGUUGUCCGGAUUUAUUGGGCGUAAAGAGCGUGUAGGCGGCCAGAUAGGUCUGCUGUGAAAACUCGAGGCUCAACCUCGAGAUGUCGGCGGAAACCAUUUGGCUAGAGUCCGGAAGAGGAAAGUGGAAUUCCGGGUGUAGCGGUGGAAUGCGUAGAGAUCCGGAAGAACACCGGUGGCGAAGGCGGUCUGCUGGGCAGUAGCUGACACUGAGAGACGAAAGCUAGGGGAGCAAAUGGG